ACUGCUCUCUUUGGGCCUUCAUUUCCUUGUCACAAAAGUGCCACUAUUUUUGUGAGGAGUAAAUGAAAGACUGUGGGCUACACCCUUGGCAGAGACACGGCGGUGCUGCUGUGCUUAGCUGUGCUUUGAAGCCUCUCGCAGUCACCAGAGGCCAUGAGCCUUGGGUCACGUUCUAUUGCAUUCCUUAAAAGUGUUCGGUGCCACUAGAGUCUGGGGAUGACAGAGGUGGGAGGGGGGAAAACCAGCCCUUCUGGUACCUUGGAGUUGCCAACCCUUGUUUAAUCCUGACAAGCUCCUGCAAGAACAGAAUUCAUCAUUAUUUAACUGUUAAAGAAGGGACCUAACCCUCUAUGAGGCUGAGCAGCCUGAGGGGACAUGCC
rnacentral:lncRNA from 1 species